GGCCUCUUCCUUAUCUACAUAUCCAUGAGAACUGCUAAAAAAUUCUUAAUUUUUUUUCUAGUCCUUUUUAGAUGUUCACCAGAGUCAUUAAAAUAGCAAAAAUAACCUCUGGACUUAGGGCAAAGGGCCAAAGUCCAUUUUUGACUCCAGGCCUGAGCAUGUGGGGCAGAAAAAUGAAUAAGGGAAGGGGAUGAUCUUUGGACAGACAAUGCCAUAAUCAGAUCACUAAUGAGCAAAUAGCUUCUUUGUUUUUAGGUAGUGGAUGGUUCACGUAUUUUAAAGAGAGUGCUAAAUCUUGCUAGAGACUUAAAAACCGCCUCCUGUGUUUUGCUUGCCCUCUGUACAGAUGGAAAUAUUCUUGGAGAGAGACUUUUCCCUCCCACGAGGCCUUAUCAAGAAGUGUGACAGUGGAGAUGGGCUGCAAUGUAAAAUGUGGAUUGUAAGGACAGUGAAAGCCUAGAUAAAUCCUCGAGACAUUCCGGGUGAAAGAGGUUUAAGGCACUGGAAGGAGCCAAGCAGCAAAGUCCAAGUGAUAAAUGAAAACUACUGGAACCUGAUAAGAAGAUGAAUAAGCUGUUUGCCAUGAAGGGGGACAAGAUGUGAAAGAAAUGACUGCUGAGGCUGCCUGAAUAACCCUUUGGUAGAAUGUGCUCAGGAAAUAACCAGAGGUCAUAGACAAGUGGAGCCAGAUGGAUGGCUUACCUCUUACCUGGGAUAUAGGGCUAGAAGGGAGAGGGACAAGAAUAAGUCUUUGUGACUUUGUGACCUACUAUGUGCCAGGCAUUGUGCUGAGACCUUUCCAAGUAAUAUCUCAUUUGAUCCUCAUCAUAGCCCUGGGAGGAAUACAGUGGAUAAACAAGUCUAUUUGUUCACUCUGGGACUUAGACCAAGCCUUCUCACCCUGAAGAUGCUGCUGCUCCUUUGGCCUCUUGUCUGAAGAACUCAAGCCAUCCACACUCACUUCUCUCUUCACUCUACCUUUGACUGUCUGUAUUUCUCAUCUUGCUUCCCAGGUAGGUUCCUGAUCUCCUCCUAUCACCCAUAGUUUUCUUCUGUGUCAUCUUUCCCCAUUAGAGUGUGAGGGUAGGGAUUAUCUUCUCUUCUUGCCUUGUAUUUGAAUUCCCAGUGUUCAGGCCAGUGCCUGGCUCUGUGUCCUUUCCUUUGCUAUUUGUAUUGGGGUGGAUGAGUCGAGUCUCUAGACCCAGCCCUUGUGUUGGCUAGAAAGUCCCAGUGUCCUCUCUGCUGUAUCCCAAGUGUCACCUUUGCAGAUCUUUCCUCCAUGUUCCCUAAGACUCACCUUGGUAAGUAGAUGCAAGUGCUAAACAGCCUCUGCCUGGUCUUGGGAAAAGUUUCUGGUGUAAGGCAAAGUUUCCUUUUAGGGAAGGGAGUUUAGGUUUGAAUAUAGGAGGAAGCACAAGAGAAAGACACGCAAGUGGUAACUGAAACACAGCAAUCAUUAGCAGUAGUAGGGUUGGGGGGGGGGAUGGCUGUGCAAGAAUGUGAUCAGAGGGUUUCUGGACCUGAGAAGGAGCACUGACUGGCUUGAGAACCCUUAUUAUGAAUCUGGUUUAUCUGGUUCAAAUAAAACAAGUAGUUCCUCUGGGGCA
rnacentral:lncRNA from 1 species